rnacentral:rRNA from 1 species
AUUGAACGCUGGCGGCGUGCCUAACACAUGCAAGUCGAGCGGUAACAGGUGUAGCAAUACAUGCUGACGAGCGGCGAACGGGUGAGUAAUGCUUUGGAAUCUUCCCAGUAGUGGGGAAUAACCAGUCGAAAGAUUGGCUAAUACCGCAUACGUCUGUAAAGGGAAAGCGGGGGCUCGUAAGACCUCGCGCUAUUGGAUGAGCCAAAGUCGGAUUAGCUUGUUGGUGGGGUAAUGGCCUACCAAGGCGACAAUCCGUAGCUGGUCUGAGAGGACGACCAGCCACAC